GAUGAACGCUGGCGGCGUGCCUAAUACAUGCAAGUCGAACGAAAAGACGAGGAGCUUGCUCCUCGGACGAUAGCGGAGGACGGGUGAGUAACACGUGGAUAACCUACCUAUAAGACUGGGAUAACUUCGGGAAAGCGGAGCUAAUAGCGGAGAAUAUAUUGAAGCGCAUGGUUCGAUGGUGAAAGACGGUUGUGCUGUCACUUAUAGAUGGAUCCGGGCCGCAUGAGCUAGUUGGUGAGGUAAAGGCUUAUCAAGGCGACGAGGCGUGGCCGACCUGAGAGGGGGAUCGCCCACCCUGGAGCUGAGACACGGUCCAGACGCCUACGGGAGGCAGCAGUAGGGAAUCUUCCGCAAUGGGCGAAAGCCUGACGGAGCAACGCCGCGUGAGUGAUGAAGGUCUUCGGAUCGUAAAACUCUGUUAUUAGUGAAGAACAAAUGUGUAAGUAACUAUGCACGUCUUGACGGUACCUAAUCAGAAAGCCACGGCUAACUACGUG
rnacentral:rRNA from 1 species